rnacentral:rRNA from 1 species
AGCGAACGCUGGCGGAAUGCUUAACACAUGCAAGUCGCACGCCCUGCAAGGGGAGUGGCGGACGGGUGAGUAACGCGUAGGAAUAUGUCCAGAGGUGGGGGACAACCCUGGGAAACUGGGGCUAAUACCGCAUACGGGCUGAGGCCCACAGCAGUGAUGCGCCUUUGGAGUAGCCUGCGUCCGAUUAGCUUGUUGGUGGGGUAAAGGCUUACCAAGGCGACGAUCGGUAGCUGGUCUGAGAGGACGACCAGCCACACUGGGACUGAGACACGGCCCAGACUCCUACGGGAGGCAGCAGUGGGGAAUAUUGGACAAUGGGCGCAAGCCUGAUCCAGCAAUUCCGCGUGGGUGAAGAAGGUCUUCGGAUUGUAAAGCCCUUUCGACGGGGACGAUGAUGACGGUACCCGUAGAAGAAGCCCCGGCUAACUUCGUGCCAGCCGCCGCGGUAA